rnacentral:pre_miRNA from 1 species
GUGUUCAUGCGCUAACGCUGUCGUACACUGCACGACAGCGUUAGCGCGUGAACACG